rnacentral:rRNA from 1 species
UACGUAGGUGACAAGCGUUGUCCGGAUUUACUGGGCGUAAAGAGCGCGCAGGCGGUCGUUCAAGUCGAGUGUGAAAGCCCCCGGCUCAACUGGGGAGGGUCAUUCGAUACUGAUCGACUCGAAGGCAGGAGAGGGUAGUGGAAUUCCCGGUGUAGUGGUGAAAUGCGUAGAUAUCGGGAGGAACACCAGUGGCGAAGGCGACUACCU